rnacentral:rRNA from 1 species
GCUUGCUGCUUUGCUGACGAGUGGCGGACGGGUGAGUAAUGUCUGGGAAACUGCCUGAUGGAGGGGGAUAACUACUGGAAACGGUAGCUAAUACCGCAUAACGUCGCAAGACCAAAGAGGGGGACCUUCGGGCCUCUUGCCAUCGGAUGUGCCCAGAUGGGAUUAGCUAGUAGGUGGGGUAACGGCUCACCUAGGCGACGAUCCCUAGCUGGUCUGAGAGGAUGACCAGCCACACUGGAACUGAGACACGGUCCAGACUCCUACGGGAGGCAGCAGUGGGGAAUAUUGCACAAUGGGCGCAAGCCUGAUGCAGCCAUGCCGCGUGUAUGAAGAAGGCCUUCGGGUUGUAAAGUACUUUCAGCGGGGAGGAAGGGAGUAAAGUUAAUACCUUUGCUCAUUGACGUUACCCGCAGAAGAAGCACCGGCUAACUCCGUGCCAGCAGCCGCGGUAAUACGGAGGGUGCAAGCGUUAAUCGGAAUUACUGGGCGUAAAGCGCACGCAGGCGGUUUGUUAAGUCAGAUGUGAAAUCCCCGGGCUCAACCUGGGAACUGCAUCUGAUACUGGCAAGCUUGAGUCUCGUAGAGGGGGGUAGAAUUCCAGGUGUAGCGGUGAAAUGCGUAGAGAUCUGGAGGAAUACCGGUGGCGAAGGCGGCCCCCUGGACGAAGACUGACGCUCAGGUGCGAAAGCGUGGGGAGCAA